UACCAGCACCCCGAGUGGUCGGGACGUUUUAUUGGGCCUAAAGCAUCCGUAGCCGGUUCUACAAGUCUUCCGUUAAAUCCAUCUGCUUAACAGAUGGGCUGCGGAAGAUACUAUAGAGCUAGGAGGCGGGAGAGGCAAGCGGUACUCGAUGGGUAGGGGUAAAAUCCGUUGAUCCAUUGAAGACCACCAGUGGCGAAGGCGGCUUGCCAGAACGCGCUCGACGGUGAGGGAUGAAAGCUGGGGGGAGCAAACCGG
rnacentral:rRNA from 1 species